AUAUUAUAGUAUAUCUGCUCAUGAACAUUUAAAUAGCCGCAACUCGUGCUAAGGUAGCAUAAUCAUUUGUCUUUUAAUUUAAGACUAGAACAAAAGAUUUAACAUUUUAAUAAAUUUAUUUAAUUUUAAAAUUGAAAUUUUACAAAUAGUAAAAAUACUAUUAUAUGCAAGAAAGACGACAAGACCCUAUUAAACUUAACUUUAGUUUUACUGGGGCAGUAAAUUAAUUAUUAUUUUAAUAAAAAUACUUUUUAAAAUAUCCUUUAUAAUAGAAUUAACCAGUUACUAUAGGGAUAACAGCGCAAUUAUCUUUAUAAGCUCUUAUAUAAAAAAUAGAUUACGACCUCGAUGUUGAAUUAAUUACCUAAAUAAAGCAAACCUUAAACAAGGAAGUCUGUUCGACUUUUAAAAAAUUACAUGAUCUGAGUCCAAACCGGAG
rnacentral:rRNA from 1 species